AGGACGAACGCUGGCGGCGCGCUUAACACAUGCAAGUCGAGCGAUCGACCGGGCCUUCGGGCCCGGCACGGAGCGGCGAACGGGUGAGUAACACGUGGGUAAUCUGCCCUCGGCUCCGGGAUAACUCCGGGAAACCGGUGCUAAUACCGGAUAGCCUCCGAAGCCUUCGGGCGUCGGAGAAAAGGUAGCUUCGGCCUCUGACCGAGGAUGAGCCCGCGUCCGAUUAGCUUGUUGGUGAGGUAACGGCUCCACCAAGGCGACGAUCGGUAGCUGGUGUGAGAGCAUGACCAGCCACACGUGGGACUGAGACACGG
rnacentral:rRNA from 1 species